UCCCCGUUAACCGGGGCAGUCCCCCUAGAGUUCCCGGCCUGACCCGUUGGCAACUAGGGGCGAGGGUUGCGCUCGUUGCGGGACUUAACCCAACAUCUCACGACACGAGCUGACGACAGCCAUGCACCACCUGUUAUGGGCCCUUUCGGACACCGUAUCUCUACGGCUUUUCCCAUAAUGUCAAACCCAGGUAAGGUUCUUCGGGUCGCAUCGAAUUGAGCCGCAUGCUCCGCCGCUUGUGCGGGGACCCGUCAAUUCCUUUGAGUCUUAGCCUUGCGACCGUACUCCCCAGGCGGGGCACUUAAUGCGUUAGCUGCGGCACCCAGGGGGUCAAUACCCCGGACACCCAGUGCCCAUCGUUUACAGCGUGGACUAC
rnacentral:misc_RNA from 1 species